GGGCUCGUAGUCUAGAUGGUUAUGACGUCGCCUUGACGAGGCGGAGGUCGAGGGUUCAAAUCCCUCCGAGCCCA
rnacentral:tRNA from 2 species